ACCUGUAACCUCACCUCAGCUGUAGCCAGUCUGCCUAUUUGAGGCCUGGCACGCAGGCUUCUCUUGGCCUGGGGAGGAAGCAUACUGCUUGAGGAAGAGUUUUCAGGCCUCCGCUGCUUGCCUUGCUCCUUCUGAACUUUUUGUGGCAGAGAUGCUAGCUUUCUGCCUGCUCUGUGAGUAUUUUAUACUCUUCCUGCCAUGAUACCUCAAGCUGUAAGUGAACCUUCACCUCCAGUCUCUCCAGUCCUCUGCAUGGUGACCUCAUGAUUUAUGCUGAUUUGUGAGAUGCAGUCAACGUAAACUCAAAUGUCAGUGGUGUCUUCUGUACAA